rnacentral:lncRNA from 1 species
AUGUACAGGAUCGGAAGAUUUAUUUCUUUACCUUCUCCACAUCCCCCAGGCCCUCAGUAUCAAGCAGAACCAGAGUAUGGUUUGGCUUCUUGGGAUGAGGCACACACCACAUCCAGAUGCCCUUCGUGUGAGACUGCACCGUGGAGCUCAGAGAGAAGCCUGCAAGGGGGCAUGGGGAAAAGAGAGGAUGGAUUUUUAAUAGCAGGUGGAUUGGAUCUGGAAAUUGAGACAUUAAAAAUAAAGUCAAGGUUUAAAGAAAUAAAUGAAAGCAUAAUCAAUAUUGAUCUUAAUUAUGAGAAAAAGAGAAUUUAGAACAUUCAGUACAAACUGAAAUUUUUGUAUUACCUGAGAGAUCACUAUAAGUUUGAUGUUAACCCACAUACAUUUUAGUAAAUGUUUUAUUGUUUAUUAUUAUCUACGUUAGUUUUAUUUAUAACUACUGUGCUCCUUUCAGAAAGACACGUUUAUACUUUAAAGAGGAAGGUAAGGCAAAGUGGGAAGAAAGAGUCGACUCUUAUCCUCCAGCACAGAAUGAAUGUUAGAAGCCCAUCCCUAAAAUGAAAAUUAGCUUUCAAUAUCCCUCCCUGGUCUCUCACUUCCUCUCCUCACAUCACCAUGCUGCACGCUGGGAGUGUGGGUGGACAGAAGGGACUUGGCUGGGCUCUGCCCAUGUCACUCACCCUUUUUCUUCCCGGCCAGCUUGUUCAUCAGGUAGGACUUGCCUGUGCGGUAGGGGCCCACGAUAGCCACCACCACAACAGGCUGCCUGAUGGCAGACAGGAUCUUCAGAGCUUCUGGAUUAACCCGCAGUUGCCCAUUGGUGUUCUCAAUGAGGCACUUUGGGGCUGGCAUGUGGAUCUCUGAGGCCAUGUCCAGGGUGUUCCCUGAUCUUCAAGGGAAAAGAUGGCAUGGAAACCAACAUUUAGUCAGUGAGCUGAGUGAGAACUUUACAGUUAGGACCAAAAUUUGGUUUUCUCCUUGAACUUUUUUCCUUAUGUGUUUUAAAAAGCCCAAUGGUCCCUUUAAGCUUGUCCUGUAGACUAGUCUACGGGUUCCCUUUAAAAAUAACUUUAUUCUGAAGGAGCUUACCCUUAUACAAAAUCAUACAUUGGACACAGAGCACUUCCAUGUGCCAUUUCCCCAGCUACCCUAUUAUUAAUAUCUUAUGUAACCACAGACAGUGAUUGAAACAGGACUUUUAUAUUGAAACAAUACUAUUAACUAAGCUACACACUUUCCCCCAUGUCACCAGCUUUCCUUUUGCCUGGUUGUUUUUGUCCUAGCUUUCCUUUAGCUCCUAGCGUCCGUUUCUGAUCCAGGAUGCAAUUCAGGAUCCUUUGUCGCCUUCACUCACUACCCUUGCUUAGUCUUCUCUCAUCAUUGGCAGUUCUUCAUUUUCAUUUUGUCUUUCAUGACAUUGUCAUUUUAGAAGAGGACUGCCCUGUCAUUUUGCAAAAUAUCCCUCUGUUUGAGUUCUUAUGGUUCCUCAUAAUUAGAUUGAGGUUGUUUUUCCUUUUUAUGACAAGAAUGCCGUGGUUGUGAUGUUCUGCCAGUCUCGGUGUAUCCUGUCAAAGGUUUCAUAAUGUCUGUAGAACACACUCUGGUGCUGGGAUGGUAACUCUGCUCACUUGGUUUAGGUGUUGUCUGCCAGAUUUCUCCACUGUAAAGUUAGUUACCUCCUUGUAAUUAAAAAAGUUAACAUGGGGGGAGAUAUUUUUGAGACUGCAGAUAUAUUCUCUUCAAAGUUUCAUAUCGUUUUUUCAGUGCUGAUUUUAACAUCCACUAAUAAUGAUUCUUGCUUAUAAUAGUUAUUAUUGUGGUGCUUGACUGUAGGUCAUUUGUACUUCACCAUUCCUUCAACAUUAUCUGAGUUUGUAUACUUCAAACAAGCUAUCCCUUCUUCUCUAUUUUAUUUCCUCAUUUAAUUAUUUAGUUGUAUCAGUAUAGACUCAUAGAUAUUCAUUUUGUUUUAUUCUGUGGGGUUUAGUACUUUGCUAUUAUUCCCUUGUGGCUCAGAAGUAAAGAAUCUGCCUGCCAAGAAGGAAAAGCAGGUUCAAAAGCUCGGUCGGAAAGAUCUGGAAGGAAAUGGUAACGUACACUGGUAUUCUUGCCUGGAAAAUCCCAUGGACAGAGGAACCUGGUGGGCUAUAGUCCAUGGGGUCACAAAAGGUCAGACACAACUGAGUGACAAACUAAUUACUAUUUACUUAUUGCUUACUUUGCCCCAAUUUGUUCUUUGAGAGCUUCUUCAACCUGGCUCCUGGGUCGUUUGGCCAUGCUUCUGUCAUAUUCUAAGCACUUUUUUACUUUGUGGCACCACAAGGUAUUCCUGGUCCUUCUUGUACUUUGCCUGAGUCAGCUCGAGAUUUGGCCAUUUCUCCCAGAAACCCUGAUUCCUUCUUUGGAUAACAGAAUUUUGAUGCCAGGAUAUAACACUAGAUGUGACCUUAUUUCUAGGUCCCCUCAGUGGGCCAAAUUCAGAAAUACAUGUAUGAAUACUAGCACAUGUAGAUACAUCUAUAUUUAUUUCUGCCUUCGGUAUACUGCCUUAAUUUCCUGCUGAUGUUUUGAAUUGGAGGAUAAUUGUUUUACAAUGUUGUUGUGUUCGUUUCUGCUAUAUAACAGCAUGAAUCAUUCAUAAGCACAUAUAUAUCCCCUCCCUCUUGACCCUUGCUCUCACCCCACCAUCCCACCCCUCUAGGUUGUCACAGAGUGCCAGGCUGGACUCCCUAUGUUAUAUACUGCUCAUGUUUCCUAUUGCAGUUCAACACAACAGAAAUUACUCAAGCUUUACCUUUCAACUCCAUACUCUAUGAAAGCCACAGCUCUUAUUAUCAUAAAUUUGCUUAUGUGCUCAGUUCUAGUAUAUGUAUAAAGUAGUUUCAAAGUUGUUAAUCCAUAUCUUGGUGAUAAAUAGAUUUACUAAUUAAAGUGCAUUAUUAAAACACAGUUGUUUUGUCUUUAACCUAAUAUAUAUAUUCAAAACACUGUAUUCUGAAAUUUUUAGAUUAGUUCUUUCCUUCCUCAUCCUCUUGAGUUGUUAGUUUAUUCAUUUGUAACACAGUCAGUUUCAUUUGUUACUAUUUGAGCUUCACUGAGGACUCCCCCACAUCUUGGUUGGGCUUCUGUGGUCGCUCAGAAUCCACCUGCCAUGCGAGAGACCUGGGUUCAGUCCCUGGGUUGGGAAGAUCCCCCAGAGAAAGAAAUGGCUACCCACUCCAGUAUUCUUGCUUGGAGAAUUCCAUGGACAGAGGAGUCUGGCAAGCUGCAGUCCAUAAGGUUGCAAAGAGUCGGACAUGACUGAGUGACUAACAUUUUCACUUAUUUCACAUCUUGGUUAAUUUUCAUAUGUGAUUAUUUUUUGAGUAUGUGAAACAUUAUGCAGUUGUGAGAGUCAGAGCUUUCCAAAAAGGUAUACUCAGAGAAAUGUCACUUUUUCUUCAUCUGACCACUCCAUUCCUGUUCCACCCUUCUAUUCUUGAAGCUCAGUAGUGUCCGACACUGUGCAGCCCCAUGUAGCCCACCAGGCUCCUCUGCCCAUGGGAUUUCUAUUCUUACUACCUCAUAAUCACACAUUCUCUGAGAAUAAACCAAUCUCAUUAGUUUCUGGUUGAUACUUCCUAGAUAUUCUUUCCAUAAAUCAGAUAUAUUUUCUUAUUCACAUUUUUAAUAAGAAAGAUCACAUUUUACAAAUAUAUGGAAAUCACUCUAUAUCACUUCAUAGAAAGCUUGCUCAUUCUUUUGGAUGGGUGUCUACUCUAUUAAGUGUAUAUACCAUAGUUUACUUAACCACUCCUGUGUGUGGGCACUUAGAUUGCUUCUAGUGUUUUUCAAUUACAGUGCUGCAGUGAAUAACCCUGCUUUCAUAUUGUUGCAGCUGUCUCUUCAGAAUAGAUGCUGGGGAAUGAGGUUGCUCUGUCAAAAGGCAAGAGUGUAUACUUUUGUUGCUUAUUGCCAAAUUCCUUUCCAGAAGGGUAUACCAGACUGCAUUUCCACUGGCUCAGCUUGUAUCCCAUUUCCAUAACAUGGAGAUUUUUUUCCUUGUGUUUCAUUUUCCUUGAAGUCACAUCUUGUGACUUCAUUACAAAAUUCCUUUCAAAGCUUUUCACCUUCAAAUUUUGAUCUUUGGACAGGACACCCUGAGCUGUCUCACCUCAGGCAUAUGUAACAGGCAGCCUGCAUCUGGGGAAUAUUGUGCCAAACAUUUAUAGAAUGUGAAACACAUGCCAUCCUAACCCAGUCUUGGACCUGGUUUCUCCCAAGUCUGUUCCUGGGCAAGCUCUGGAUCAGACUGAGACUCAGGGUGCCCAGUGGCUUCCUCCUCUCAGGGACAGGCACUCCUGAGAGGCCACAGUCCACCCUGUCUAGUGACUCACUGCUUCUUAACCAUUGAUCUGCAUCUGAAUUCAUGUGUUUUCGCCCAAGACUGAUACCUCUAAUCUGAAUUUCACUCUUCAUGACAAAUUGAGAUUACAAUGGAGUAAUCAUAGUUCAGACAUACAAAACUAGAGUUGAGUGCCAUUAAGAAUUUAGUCUAAGGCAUAUCCUAGCUCCAUGAAAAGCUUGAAUUUUCUCUGACCUGUAUCACACCUAAGGACACCAUCAGCUGUAUUUGGGACAACAUCUGCUACCUGCAACUUUAUGGUUCAGGGUUCCCUCGUGCCCCCACCCUGUGGAACUUUAAAACCAUUUCAGUGAUUUAAACCAACUUAAACUCAAUUCAGCAACCAAUUCAGGUCCUUACUUUUUGCCUUAAUUAUAAUCCGUAACACACAAUUUUAAGUAACUGGUCUUAGUUUUGACCUUUAUAAACUUUUUCUAUUUUGUAGUCAAGAGGAACACAAGUUUUUAAGUGCUUCUUGAACUUGUCUCCCAGGCUGCAGUCCUAAUAAACCUUGAAUAAAACACUUUUUCCCUGGUGGCUCAGAGGUUAAAUCGUUUGCCUGCAAUGCAGGUGACCUGUGUUCGAACCCUGGGUCAGAAAGAUCCCCUGGAGAAGGAAAUGGCAACCCACUCCAGUAUUCUUGCCUGGAGAAUCCUAUGGACGGAGGAGCCUGGUGGGCUAUAGUCCACGGGGUCACAAAGAGUCGGACACAACUGAGCUACUUGACUUUCAUUUUAAUCAGGUCAUAGUUUCUGAAAUUUUUGUUAACACUCUAUAUUUCACUCAAUCAUGUUACCAAAUUUUGGCCUCCUUGUGUUUGAAGAUUGAUUCUUUAUUAUCUCCGUAUAUAUCAACUGGCAUAUUGCUUUCAAUUACCUCAGGUAAUGAAGCUACUCUUAUGAAACAUGAU